rnacentral:lncRNA from 1 species
AGCUUCUUUAAUUUGGCCGUAGCAUGUAUAUAUAAUACAUAUCUCCUAAUUAGAGUCUAAUUCUAAUUCAAUUAUAAUUAUACUCCUAAUUAUAAUCCAUAUAUGGCAAAUUAAAUCUAAAUAAUAUCUAAUCCCAAUUAGAUUAGGAUUUAUCCACAGAAUUAGAUAACUACAAAUCUAAACCAAAUAUAACAUAAAGCAUUCAAAUUUUGAUAUCGAAGUGUUAUUGAUUGACUCAAAUCAAACAAAUUGACUUGUUAGGUAGUCAAAUCAAAGUUUUAAAAAAUUGAAUCACUAAUUUAAAAUAGUUUAUAAUUUCUAUAAGUUUUGUACAUUUUUACCUAAAAACAAAAAAAAAUAAGAACAAAAA